rnacentral:tRNA from 1 species
ACUCCUGUAGCCCAAUUGGAAGAGGCGGCUGUCUCAAAAACAGUUUGUGUGUGGGUUCAAAUCCCACCGGGAGUA